rnacentral:lncRNA from 1 species
CCUUGCACAUCACUGUGUGUGUCCCUAGAAGAACCCAAGAGUCUGGGAAGCAAGUGAUAGAAGUAGGGAUGGAUCCACUCGCCAUCAUCAUCACUUAUGUUCUUUGGGAAAUGUGUGAUUCCAGCCCUGAUGACUCUCACCUUAAGUUUUUGUGAGUAUAGAUCUGAUUUCCAGAGGGGGACACUUCUGAUUUCCAGAGGGGGACACUUCUGAUUUCCAGAGGGGGACACUUCUGGCAAGAGCCUGGUCACUCCAGGCUCCUUGUGCCUAGAGACCAGCAGGAGGACCAGCUGCAGGAGGGAAAGGUGUCACCAUCCUGGCAAGGGCAACUGACCCAAAACUCCAGGAAGAGGUGGGACUUCUGGGGAAGGCCAAGGUACAUUUGACAUGCAGUGGUUCUCAGGGCAUCUUGGGUCUCCCUUGCCCAAUUUUGGUGAUAAAAGGAUCUGUGCCACAGCCUUGUCCUAUGAAGGGCAUGAUGACAAGGGAUGAACAAGGACCCUCAGGGAUGAGGCUCUAGGUCCCCCACCAGGCAAACUGCCUAAGCCAGUAGGGCUGUAGCCCGGGGUAACCCAGGGUGGGUAACUGAGGAGGGCAAUGAUUAGCAUUGUCACUGUUUGGAAACCACCCGGAGCCUGGGGCAUAUAGUUUUUCUCAUGAAAUUCCCACUUGUAAAUUUUCCCUAGGGAAAGAGACCCACCAAAAUUUCAGAGAAGUUAUUCCAAGGCGGUCUGACUUACUGUACAAAGCAAGCAGAUCUGCGCAGGUAAGGUGUGUGGAUUUUAUGGUGCACUGCACAGAGAUUCCCUUCAGGACCCAAAUAUUCCUUUUCCCAGUUACCAAGAGUGUCUUCCUUCUUGGAUGACACCUGGGCCCCUCCCCAGGAAUUGCCCUCAGUGGAAGGGAACUGCCAGGUUUUCACUUUUGUUCCCUCUCUGGGGGAAGUUGUAUUCACUGUCUGGCUGAUUUGGGGAGUCUAAGGGCCUGGCCUCUUGCUGCAGUCUGGGACAUCUCUGAAGAACAUGGCUGGUUUCACAUCUCAUGGAACUGGUUGAAGUCUCUAAGGUGUGUUCACUUUCUUCCUCCUCCCAGUCUGCUCUAUGGCGGACAGAAUAAUGGCUCCCCAGGGAUGUCUGCAUCCUCCUCCCCAAUAUGCGUGACUGCAUUGCCUUCCAUGACAAAUGGAAAUCUGCACACAUGAGGAAGUUAAGGAUCUGGAGAUGGAGAGAUUAUCCUUGGUGGACAAAAUGUAAUCCCAAGGGUCCUUAUAAGGAAGAAUCGAGAAGUCAGAGAAGAGAGAAGAUGCUACCACCUGUUUUUGAAGAUAGAGCCACAGCCUAAAGACUGUAGGUAGCCUAUAGAAGAUGAAAAAAGUCAAGACAGAUUCUCCUUAAGAGCUUGAGAAGGAAUGCAGUCCUGAUGACUGAUUUGGGACUUUGGUCUCUAGAACUAUUCAGUGAUAAAUUAUGCUGUAUGAAGUCACCGUUUAUUGCUGUUUACAGCAGCAAUAGGAAACAAAUACACGUUCCCUUACAGGUGAUGUUUGGGAAAAGCAUGCCCCAACAAGCUUCUAACAUGCAAAUCUUUUUUUAAAUGAUUUUUUUCCCAUUAUAGCUGGUUUACAGUAUUGUCAAUUUUCUAUUGUACAUCAAAAUGACCCAGUCACACACACACACACACACACACACACACACAUACACUCUUUUUCUCACAUUAUCCUCCAUCCUGCUCCAUCACAAGUGACUAGAUAUAGAACCCAGUGCUAUACAGCAGGAUCUCAUUUCUUAUCCACUCCAAGGGCAAUAGUUUGAAUCUAUUAACCCAGAUUCCCAGUCCAUCCCACUCCCUCCCCCUCCCCCUUGGAAACCACAAGUAUGUUCUCCCAGUCCCUGAAUUUCUUUUCUGUGCUAACAUGCAAAUAUUUACUCAGAGCCUGUUCCUCAGGGAAUCUGGCUUAUGCUGUGCCACUUUGUGGACAGAUACUAGGACAAUGAAUCCUGAGGGAGAUCAAAUCAACCUGUUGCUGAAACUUGGCCUCUGUCCACCUGUGCCAAAUAGAGACAGAGACAAGAGUUUUGGGUAAAGGAGAAAUAGAUAAGUUUUAUUGCUUUGCCAGGCAAAGGAGACCAGCAGGCUCAUGCCCUAAAGACUGUGCCAUCCAUUGGGAAGAAUUGUGGGGAGUUUUAUAGUAAAAAAGGAGAAAACCAGGUUUUUGUAUAGGAAUCAGGAUUGGGGCAGACAUGCAUUCUUCUUUCUUUGCAGGAAUCGUAGUCAUCAAAGCCGGUGUCAGGAGAUCUCAGCAUGAUCAUAAUGGUGGUCGUCUGGGUUCUUGCCUAGAAUAAUAGUACUUUGGAAAAGGGCAUAUUGAUCAGAGAUUAGAACAAACUAGGAAGCUUCCUGAAAAACGUUAUGUGCUCAUAAUCUUUAACCCACAGGCAAUUAUGCUCAGGGUGCCUAAUCUUUAGUUUACAGGUGAUAGCAUUUAGGGUGCAAUUAAGCCAGCGAGAAGGACAAGAAGGCCUCUACCUUCUUGUUCAAAGUAUUCAUCUCUAAAAGAAGCAUAAAGAAUAUACUUUUCUCUUAGGUGUAUAAGAUGCCUCCCUAUAUCAUUAUGUGGAUCCCUUGAGAGGGGACCAGGAUUCUGCCCAAGGCCGUACUGUUGUUUCUUGACUGUCCCUCCCUUGACUUUGCAUCCCCUUCUUUCCCUAAUGAGCACCUGUCUGGACCUGCCCCUUGGAGCCCAGGGAAGUGCAUGGAGGCUGAAUGAAACCCAUUUCCUAAAAACAAGAAAUGCGGGACACAGAAAGGCUUUUGUGCCCAGGAGCCCCACAGGGCCCUGCUCAGUUACAAUCUCAGUUUCAUUUAAAAAGCUAUCUUUUAACGAUCCGGCGUUGCUGUGAGCUGUGGUGUAUGUUGCAGACGCGGCUCGGAUCCUGCGUUGCUGUGGCUCUGGUGUAGGCUGGCGGCUACAGCUCCGAUUCAACCCCUAGCCUGGGAACCUCCAUAUGCCGUGGGAGUGGCCCAAGAAAUGGCAAAAAGACAAAAAAAAAAUAAUAAUA